AACCAAUCAAUUCUCUUUGAUUUUUAAAACAAUGAUGUUGGUGUCAGGUCUAAAAUAAUAUAAACUAGAUUCAUGAGUAAGAAAUAGAGGAUCAACAAGCACGUAGAUAAUAGGAUUUGAACUAAAUAAAUAAAUAAAUCUAAAUAAUAUUAUUUCUUCCCUUUUUCAUUGUCAUCAUCUUAGAAUACAAAAUCCAUAACAACAGGGUUCUAAAAAUAAAAAUAAAAAAUAAAAAUAUUCUUGAAUUCCCAAACUAUAACUAAAUGAAAGCUCAUAGAAAUUUCUAGCAAGAGACUUUGUACACAUCUCUUAACCACAUGCACAUGUCCCGCUUAUACCAGAUGGAGUUUCCAACAUAAAACACUUCGGUUUUAAAGGAAAUGGACACAUAUUUUUUGGACAAUCAGAAUCGCGAGUACAUUUAUUAAGCGCUGCAAUGAAUAAUAAUAAUAAAAUAAGUUAUUAAAAUGAGAUAAAAUAUUACGUAGAAAGUAAAUAAAAAAAUUUAAAAAACUGUUAAAAAUUAUAGUUACUGUCAGUCUUCAUUGCAAGAAGAAUUUGGCAAAGAAAGAUGAUGAUAACAUAAAUUUUUUUUACAAGUUCACCCAUAGUUUCUCCUCUUUGCAUGCAAGUUUUAUUAUGUGGUUUUUAUCUCUUUAUAAAGUUUAUUCUCUUUUUACAUAGACUAAAUAGGUUUUAGUGAUUAUGAAGUUGUAAAAUACCUUCUUAAAGUUAGAGUCAUGAUUAUAUAUCUUUAAGUUUAUCUAAGUGUUGUGUUUGUCUCUUCAGUAUACUUUGUAACGAGGCCAUAUAAAAAAAACUUAACACUCAUUCUUAUUAUACACAUUUUCUAUUAUUAGUAGAAAAUGGACGAUAAAAAAAAAGAAAGAGAAAUAAUAUCUUUAGAUUUUAUGUCAGCCGUACGCUUUAGCAAAACUAUAGCUAUUUCUGUGAUAGAUUUCAAACUCAUUAACAAAUCCUCAAGCG
rnacentral:lncRNA from 1 species